GGGAGCCAGCCCUGGGCAAACAGGCGGCUGGAGAGUAAGUCACCUCCCUCCUCUUCUCCUCGCAGAGCUGUAUGCCCAUUACCUGAGGGGACGGAAUCCAAGCAUGGGUCAACAAUAAGGCAACAGGUUCUCCUGAGAUCAUCCUCUUCAAAAAUGCCUUUUACUCAAAGCCCCUCUCAGGCUCUGCUUCCAGGGAGCCUGACCAGAGACAGCCACAACAUUAAAUUGGCUCUCGGUAAGUAUGCUGAUUUGCGGAAAGAAUCCUUCCCACUGAAGCAAUAUCACCUUGCCUCGUCUGUAUGACCUUGG
rnacentral:lncRNA from 1 species